AAAUCGAGCAUCCGAACCCUAGGUUGGGUCCCUGAGCGCUGGCCGGAAUUUCUCUUCUGGUGUCUCUGUUUGACAGUGCCGAAGACAAGGAGUUGUGCCCUAGUUUUGCUUUUCACAGUGGUUCUGUCUUCAUUGUGAUCUGCCCUAGCAGAAUUGGGAAGGUCACGGAUUGGUGAGGUUUGGUGUAUUGUGGGGUGUUUUUGAUUUUUGGCAGCAACCCCAUCCCGCAGCGGUAAGGACUUUGACGCGAGACGAGUAUCUCGGAGUCAGAUCGGACCUUUCUA